AUUGAUCUUGGCUUAAGUACUGGUCCUGAAUUUAUCAAACUCGUUGUAAAAUGAGUUAAAAGUGAGGCUGAGCGCAGGGCCAAAACAAGGCUGAGACAAAACAUUCUUCCUUUAACUUGUCUGUGUUUCCCAGAGAAUGUGUUCUCAUUAUUUUGUCUGCUGUUUUGUACCUUUGGACAUUCCACCAAUGAUGAAAUUCAGACAGUUCUAUCAGAUUUCGCUUCAAAAAUUUUGGACCUUUGUUACUAGGUACAUAAACAUCUGAGGUGUUUAUUGGAGCUCUUUGCCUAGAACUGAUAAUUGGAUUCAUGGUAUUCUGGAGAACAAGGUACUACAAUCAAUAUGCUGAAGAGAUACCUGCACUCUCAUGUUCAUUGCAGCAUUAUUCACAACAACCAAGAUCUGGAAUCAACCUAAGUGUCCAGCAGUGGAUAAAGAAAUUGUGGAAACAGGCUGAGGAAGAAUAAGAGACUUGCUUGAGGAAGAAAACUGAAGCCCAGAAAGCUUAAUAUAUUACCCAAAGAGUUAGUCCACAUUGAACUGGGAGUUAAUCCUUGUCUGUCUGGCUGGAAAGCUUUUGCUCUGUAUCUUGGAUGAAUAAACUAAACCUUAGGGAAUCUUCCUAGAAGAAACCAUAUAACGCCUCCUGUACGAGAAGUUAAAUUACAACACAAAGAUUGCUUGGUGAGCAUGUGAUCAAAACAGGGCAAGAUGAAGACCUUUAGAGGCCACAAGCAUUUUAGUGUGCCUCCCAACUUCCCUUAUAUUAUUCAAAAUAUAAACAAUAAAAUCUACAAAGAUGUGAAAGAAGUCCAACAAAAGCUUUAUUUUUUUUAUGAUGAAUACUUUUAAAACUUCAUUGAAAUAUCAAAUAUCAUAUUCUUUUAAAACGAUUUUUUUUUCUUUUUGCAAUUUGUUUUGUUGGUAUCCAAAAUACACAGUUUUUCUGCUGGGCUCCGAACAAGAGGAGUUAAUUUUAGUCCUUAGAGUUUUGACUGCAACAAGC
rnacentral:lncRNA from 1 species